rnacentral:rRNA from 1 species
GACAGCAGCCGCCGCGGUAAUACGGAGGGUGCAAGCGUUAUCCGGAUUUAUUGGGUUUAAAGGGUCCGUAGGCGGAUCUGUAAGUCAGUGGUGAAAUCUCACAGCUUAACUGUGAAACUGCCAUUGAUACUGCAGGUCUUGAGUAAAUUUGAAGUGGCUGGAAUAAGUUGUGUAGCGGUGAAAUGCAUAGAUAUUACUUAGAACACCAAUUGCGAAGGCAGGUCACUAAGAUUUAACUGACGCUGAUGGACGAAAGCGUGGGGAGCGAACAGGAUUAGAUACCCGGGUAGUCCCUGUCUCUUAUAC